rnacentral:rRNA from 1 species
UACGUAGGGGGCAAGCGUUAUCCGGAUUUACUGGGUGUAAAGGGGGCGCAGACGGCGAUGCAAGCCAGGAGUGAAAGCCCGGGGCCCAACCCCAGGACUGCUCUUGGAACUGCGUGGCUGGAGUGCAGGAGGGGCAGGCGGAAUUCCUGGUGUAGCGGUGAAAUGCGUAGAUAUCAGGAGGAACACCGGUGGCGAAGGCGGCCUGCUGGACUGCAACUGUCGUUGAGGCCCGAAAGCGUGGGGAGCAAACAGG